GAUGAACGCUAGCUACAGGCUUAACACAUGCAAGUCGAGGGGCAGCAUGAAGUCAGCUUGCUGACUUCGAUGGCGACCGGCGCACGGGUGAGUAACGCGUAUCCAACCUUCCCCUUACUCAGGAAUAGCCCGUUGAAAGACGGAUUAAUGCCUGAUGUUCUCAUUUUCUGGCAUCAUGGAAUGAGCAAAGAUUCAUCGGUAAGGGAUGGGGAUGCGUAUGAUUAGCUUGUUGCGGGGGGGUUAACGCCCACCAAGGCGACGAUCAUUAGGGGUUCUGAGAGGAAGGUCCCCCANACUGGAACUGAGACACGGUCCAGACUCCUACGGGAGGCAGCAGUGAGGAAUAUUGGGUCAAUGGAGGCAACUCUGAACCAGCCAAGUAGCGUGCAGGACGACGGCCCUAUGGAUUGUAAACUGCUUUAUGCGGGGAUAAAUGAGCCUACGUGUAGGUUUUUGCAGGUACCGCAUGAAUAAGGACCGGCUAAAUUCCGG
rnacentral:rRNA from 1 species